AAGCGAAUGAACGCAGUUGCCGGUACUGAAUAUACUCGAGAGUCUGUAACUACCGGUACUACAGAGACAUACUGCUAACCACUGAUCUAUAAUAUAGUAGCGGCUUCACUGUCUUUUGGCAGUUUAGAAUGUGAUGAGUGAUCCAGUCAUAUAUAGAUAAGGGCUGCUAACGCGUUUUCAUUUCUUCUUCGCUGCUCUAAACAGGGGUUGCUUGUGGCAACACAGCACAACUUCCUGUGUUUUCAAUGCAUUUUGAGCAGCGAAGAAGAACCGUGCAGCGGUUAGGCAAAGCUUGCGGUCAUAACUAGGUCUUUUUUAAGAAAAUGGUAUCGGAUCGGUAUAUGGGUUCAUGUACUCGCCGAUGCCGAUGCCAGAAUUUGUUGUGGUAUCGGAGAUAUUUCCGAUACUAGUAUCGGAAUCGGAACAACUCUACUAUGCAUCACACAAAUCAAUUCAAGCCUUCUGCAGAUUCAACUGAGAUCGAUUUAAGAUCCGCUGAAACCCACACAUGUGUAAAGCAUGUCCAGGCCUGAAGAAGGUGCCAGUGGAAGACUCUCCCCACCAUCUGAGCCUGACCAGAGUCACAGGAGGAGGUCUGGGGAUGGUCCACAGCACUUUACUCACCGUCACCCUCAGAAAACAUCUCAGAUGACCCUCCACCAGAGGAGGAACACUGCUGGAUGGAGACACAUCGCUCAGCACUGCAGUGAGAUAGUAGGAAAGAUGUAGAUAUUGCUGUUUUCUUUCUGGGAGAAAAAAAAUCUGGGAGAAUUUUUGACAGAAGCAAACAGAGUCCUGGUGAUGGGAUGGUAUUUAUAAUUGAGGAAGAAGAACAGCUACAUAUCAGAAACACCAACUGCAAAGUGUAUAUACUGUACAGUGGGGUCCAAAACCCCUGAGACCACUAAAGAAUAGUUCAUCCAGAAAUAAACAUUUGCUUAAAUGUGC